rnacentral:rRNA from 1 species
AUAGUUUGCGACCUCGAUGUUGAAUUAAGAAAAAUAUUUGGUGAAAAAGUUAAAUGAUUAGGUCUGUUCGACCUUUAAAUUCUUACAUGAUUUGAGUUCAAAUCGGUGUGAGCCAGAUUGGUUUCUAUCUUUAAUAAAUUUAUAUUUUUUAGUACGAAAGGACCAAAUAUAUUAAUUAAAUUUUUGUUGUG